UGUCCGGAUAGUGUAGUGGCCUAGCAUGGAGCCCUGUCGAGGCUCCGCCCCGGGUUCGAAUCCCGGUCCGGGCGU
rnacentral:tRNA from 1 species